rnacentral:rRNA from 1 species
AUUGAACGCUGGCGGCAUGCUUUACACAUGCAAGUCGGACGGCAGCACAGAGAAGCUUGCUUCUUGGGUGGCGAGUGGCGAACGGGUGAGUAAUAUAUCGGAACGUACCGAGUAAUGGGGGAUAACUAAUCGAAAGAUUAGCUAAUACCGCAUAUUCUCUGAGGAGGAAAGCAGGGGACCUUCGGGCCUUGCGUUAUUCGAGCGGCCGAUAUCUGAUUAGCUAGUUGGUGGGGUAAAGGCCUACCAAGGCGACGAUCAGUAGCGGGUCUGAGAGGAUGAUCCGCCACACUGGGACUGAGACACGGCCCAGACUCCUACGGGAGGCAGCAGUGGGGAAUUUUGGACAAUGGGCGCAAGCCUGAUCCAGCCAUGCCGCGUGUCUGAAGAAGGCCUUCGGGUUGUAAAGGACUUUUGUCAGGGAAGAAAAGGCUGUUGCUAAUACCGACAGCUGAUGACGGUACCUGAAGAAUAAGCACCGGCUAACUACG